CCAUUUCAGUGAAAGGAAAAGUACUAUACACUACGCUCAUGACAGCGUCAGUAUAAUCGCAUUAUUGACAGAUGUCAUUUACGCUACAUAAUUAUCCCACGUGAUAUCAUUUGAAAAAUAUUUUGGUUAAUAUUACAACUUUAUUAAUAAAAGAAACAAAGAUCACAAUUAUUCGUUGUACAAAAUAAUAUUUUAUUUUUCGUUAAUUUGGUUUAUUCCUAAGUCAACUGCUAUAUCAAAAUAAAUUAUUGUCGGCAUGAGUUCAAAACAAAACGCUAUUAAAAAAAUAAAGUCACUAUGUUAUUUGACUUUAGGAGGAUCUAUUGCAUACCAACUAAUUUAUAUAAAAAAGGACUUCAAUGGAUAUUAUGGAAAAGUUUUGGAACCAGCAAGUCAAUACCUAAACCCAGAGUUGGCACAUAAAUUUGGUGUAACUGCUAUCAAAUAUGGUAUCUUUCCCACAGAAAGUUUUACAGACCCUAAAAUUUUAAACACAAAAUUCCUAGACUCAAAUCUAAGUAGUCCGGUAGGCAUAGCCGCUGGUUUUGACAAACAUGGUGAUGCUGUAUUGGGUUUGAAAAAUAUUGGUUUCUCCAUUAUAGAAGUCGGUUCAGUGACCCCAGAGCCCCAGACUGGUAACCCAAAGCCUAGGGUGUUUCGAUUGCCAGAAGAUAAAGCUGUAAUUAAUAGAUAUGGUUUCAACAGUGAAGGCCAUAAUGAAGUUUAUAAAAAGAUGCAAAGUAUUAACAAAGCAUUAUUAGACAAAUGCCUAUUGGGAAUAAAUUUAGGAAAGAAUAAGUUAUCAGAAAAUGCGAUUCAUGAUUAUACAAUAGGCAUAAAGAAAUUUUAUGAUGUAGCUGAUUAUUUUGUUAUAAACAUCAGCAGUCCUAACACUCCAGGAUUAAGAUCAUUACAAAAGAAAGAAGAGUUACUUGAACUUCUGACAGCAGUAAAUAAAACAAGAAAUUUGCUUCAGUCAGCAAAAAGGAUUCCGCUACUUCUGAAACUGGCCCCAGAUCUGACUAUUGAAGAAAUAAAAGACAUAGUCUAUAUUAUUACAAAGAAGGAAAGUAAUGUUGAUGGUCUUAUAAUCUCAAAUACCACAAUUGACAAACCCUCAUUAAUUAAUAAAACAUUCCCAAAUGAAGCUGGUGGCCUGAGUGGAAAGCCUCUAGCAAAUAAAUCAACAGAAAUGAUUAAAAUUAUUUACAAAUUAACAAAAGGAAAAAUACCAAUAAUUGGUGUUGGAGGAGUUUUUACAGGGCAAGAUGCAUAUGAAAAGAUAAUAGCAGGAGCUAGUGUGAUACAGAUAUAUACAGCUUUAAUUUAUCAUGGUCCUCCGGUAAUCAGCAAAAUAAAAUCAGAAUUAGCAGAAAUAUUAGAAAGAGAGGGCUACAAGAAUGUCAGCGAAGCUGUUGGAAAAGGAGUUAAAUGACAAAAAUUGUUUGUGUAAUAUUGACUACAAACGACAUAAAAUACAAUUUACUGUACUGACAAAAACCUAAACAAAAUUUGCUAUUAAUUUAAACUGAUAUCUUAAAUUGAAAUACAAUUAAUUGUAACAUUUGCUACAAUUAAUUGUAUUUUAUGUCGAAAUUUAAUUUACUUUCUUUCCACCUAUUAUUUCCACAUAUUAAAUUAAAUAGUAAAUAUAUUUUGUUUAUAUGAAAAAGCACAAAAAUGUGUUUUUUUAUUAAGAUAUAUUGCUUUAACAACACAGUAUGUGUGCAAACUCUUCAAAUUGUAGAUAAAAAAGUAAUUUAAAAUUACUUUUAAUAUUCCAGAGGAUAUGUAGUAGAAAAAAAAUCCUUCUUCAAUAAAUGGAACAUUACCAAAUGAAGCUGGUGGAUUUAGUGGAAAGCCUCUAGCAAAUAAAUGAAGAGAAAUUAAAAUUAUUUACAAAUGAACAACAGGAAAAAUACCAAUAAUUGUAAAAACUUCUACAACUCCCUGUAGGAGUUUUUACAGGACAAGAUGCAUAUGAAAAGAUAUUAGUUAGAG